UGGGGGAUAUUGCACAAUGGGGGAAACCCUGAUGCAGCGACGCCGCGUGAGGGAAGACGGUCUUCGGAUUGUAAACCUCUGUCUUUAGGGACGAAAAAAUGACGGUACCUAAGGAGGAAGCCACGGCUAACUACGUGCCAGCAGCCGCGGUAAUACGUAGGUGGCAAGCGUUGUCCGGAAUUACUGGGUGUAAAGGGAGCGUAGGCGGGGAGACAAGUUGAAUGUUUAAACUAUCGGCUUAACUGAUAGUCGCGUUCAAAACUAUCACUCUUGAGUGCAGUAGAGGUAGGCGGAAUUCCUAGUGUAGCGGUGAAAUGCGUAGAUAUUAGGAGGAACACCAGUGGCGAAGGCGGCCUACUGGGCUGUAACUGACGCUGAGGCUCGAAAGCGUGGGUAGCAAACA
rnacentral:rRNA from 1 species